GAUGAACGCUGGCGGCGUGCCUAAUACAUGCAAGUAGAACGCUGAAGGAAGGAGCUUGCUCUUUCCGGAUGAGUUGCGAACGGGUGAGUAACGCGUAGGUAACCCGCCUGGUAGCGGGGGAUAACUAUUGGAAACGAUAGCUAAUACCGCAUAACAGUAGAUGUUGCAUGAUAUCUACUUAAAAGGUGCAAUUGCACCACUACCAGAUGGACCUGCGUUGUAUUAGCUAGUUGGUGAGGUAACGGCUCACCAAGGCGACGAUACAUAGCCGACCUGAGAGGGUGAUCGGCCACACUGGGACUGAGACACGGCCCAGACUCCUACGGGAGGCAGCAGUAGGGAAUCUUCGGCAAUGGACGGAAGUCUGACCGAGCAACGCCGCGUGAGUGAAGAAGGUUUUCGGAUCGUAAAGCUCUGUUGUAAGAGAAGAACGAGUGUGAGAGUGGAAAGUUCACACUGUGACGGUAUCUUACCAGAAAGAGACGGCUAACUACGUG
rnacentral:rRNA from 1 species